UUAAUUGAAACCAAAUUAGAGGUGCACCACUGUUANAUGGNUGCUAUUGAGAAAAUCUCCAAUUAAA
rnacentral:tRNA from 1 species